rnacentral:rRNA from 1 species
UAAUACGUAGGUGGCGAGCGUUGUCCGGAUUUAUUGGGCGUAAAGCGCGUGCAGGUGGUUGGUUAAGGCCGAUGUGAAAUCUCCCGGCUCACCUGGGAGGGUGCGUUGGCGACUGGCCGACUGGAGGCAGGUAGAGGCCGGUGGAAUUCCCGGUGUAGUGGUGAAAUGCGUAGAUAUCGGGAGGAACACCAGUGGCGAAAGCGGCCGGCUGGGCCUGUCCUGACGCUGAGACGCGAAAGCGUGGGGAGCGAACCGGAUUAGAUACCCGGGUAGUCCACGCGGUAAACGAUGGCCACUAGGUGUGGGGGGUAUCGACCCCCUCCGCGCCGCAGCAAACGCAUUAAGUGGCCCGCCUGGGGAGUACGGCCGCAAGGCUA